GGGUUGUGAGGUUAAGCGACUAAGCGUACACGGUGGAUGCCCUGGCAGUCAGAGGCGAUGAAGGACGUGCUAAUCUGCGAAAAGCGUCGGUAAGGUGAUAUGAACCGUUACAGCCGGCGAUGUCCGAAUGGGGAAACCCAGUGCAAUUCGUUGCACUAUCGUUAACUGAAUACAUAGGUUAACGAGGCGAACCGGGGGAACUGAAACAUCUAAGUACCCCGAGGAAAAGAAAUCAACCGAGAUUCCCCCAGUAGCGGCGAGCGAACGGGGAGCAGCCCAGAGUCUGAAUCAGCUUGUGUGUUAGUGGAACGGUCUGGAAAGUCCGACGGUACAGGGUGAUAGUCCCGUACACCAAAAUGCACAGGUUGUGAACUCGAAGAGUAGGGCGGGACACGUGGUAUCCUGUCUGAAUAUGGGGGGACCAUCCUCCAAGGCUAAAUACUCCUGACUGACCGAUAGUGAACCAGUACCGUGAGGGAAAGGCGAAAAGAACCCCGGCGAGGGGAGUGAAAAAGAACCUGAAACCGUGUACGUACAAGCAGUGGGAGCACCUUCGGGUGUGACUGCGUACCUUUUGUAUAAUGGGUCAGCGACUUAUAUUCUGUAGCAAGGUUAACCGUAUAGGGGAGCCGCAGGGAAACCGAGUCUUAACUGGGCGUUAAGUUGCAGGGUAUAGACCCGAAACCCGGUGAUCUAGCCAUGGGCAGGUUGAAGGUUGGGUAACACUAACUGGAGGACCGAACCGACUAAUGUUGAAAAAUUAGCGGAUGACUUGUGGCUGGGGGUGAAAGGCCAAUCAAACCGGGAGAUAGCUGGUUCUCCCCGAAAGCUAUUUAGGUAGCGCCUCGUGAACUCAUCUUCGGGGGUAGAGCACUGUUUCGGCUAGGGGGUCAUCCCGACUUACCAACCCGAUGCAAACUACGAAUACCGAAGAAUGUUAUCACGGGAGACACACGGCGGGUGCUAACGUCCGUCGUGAAGAGGGAAACAACCCAGACCGCCAGCUAAGGUCCCAAAGUCAUGGUUAAGUGGGAAACGAUGUGGGAAGGCACAGACAGCCAGGAUGUUGGCUUAGAAGCAGCCAUCAUUUAAAGAAAGCGUAAUAGCUCACUGGUCGAGUCGGCCUGCGCGGAAGAUGUAACGGGGCUAAACCAUGCACCGAAGCUGCGGCAGCGACACUAUGUGUUGUUGGGUAGGGGAGCGUUCUGUAAGCCUGCGAAGGUGUGCUGUGAGGCAUGCUGGAGGUAUCAGAAGUGCGAAUGCUGACAUAAGUAACGAUAAAGCGGGUGAAAAGCCCGCUCGCCGGAAGACCAAGGGUUCCUGUCCAACGUUAAUCGGGGCAGGGUGAGUCGACCCCUAAGGCGAGGCCGAAAGGCGUAGUCGAUGGGAAACAGGUUAAUAUUCCUGUACUUGGUGUUACUGCGAAGGGGGGACGGAGAAGGCUAUGUUAGCCGGGCGACGGUUGUCCCGGUUUAAGCAUGUAGGCUGGUUAUCCAGGCAAAUCCGGAUAAUCAAGGCUGAGGUGUGAUGACGAGGCACUACGGUGCUGAAGUAACAAAUGCCCUGCUUCCAGGAAAAGCCUCUAAGCAUCAGGUAACAUCAAAUCGUACCCCAAACCGACACAGGUGGUCAGGUAGAGAAUACCAAGGCGCUUGAGAGAACUCGGGUGAAGGAACUAGGCAAAAUGGUGCCGUAACUUCGGGAGAAGGCACGCUGGUGUGUAGGUGAAGUCCCUGCGGAUGGAGCUGAGACCAGUCGAAGAUACCAGCUGGCUGCAACUGUUUAUUAAAAACACAGCACUGUGCAAACACGAAAGUGGACGUAUACGGUGUGACGCCUGCCCGGUGCCGGAAGGUUAAUUGAUGGGGUUAUCCGUAAGGAGAAGCUCUUGAUCGAAGCCCCGGUAAACGGCGGCCGUAACUAUAACGGUCCUAAGGUAGCGAAAUUCCUUGUCGGGUAAGUUCCGACCUGCACGAAUGGCGUAAUGAUGGCCAGGCUGUCUCCACCCGAGACUCAGUGAAAUUGAACUCGCUGUGAAGAUGCAGUGUACCCGCGGCAAGACGGAAAGACCCCGUGAACCUUUACUAUAGCUUGACACUGAACAUUGAGCCUUGAUGUGUAGGAUAGGUGGGAGGCUUUGAAGCGUGGACGCCAGUCUGCGUGGAGCCAACCUUGAAAUACCACCCUUUAAUGUUUGAUGUUCUAACGUUGGCCCCUGACCGGGGUUGCGGACAGUGUCUGGUGGGUAGUUUGACUGGGGCGGUCUCCUCCCAAAGCGUAACGGAGGAGCACGAAGGUUAGCUAAUCCUGGUCGGACAUCAGGAGGUUAGUGCAAUGGCAUAAGCUAGCUUGACUGCGAGCGUGACGGCGCGAGCAGGUGCGAAAGCAGGUCAUAGUGAUCCGGUGGUUCUGAAUGGAAGGGCCAUCGCUCAACGGAUAAAAGGUACUCCGGGGAUAACAGGCUGAUACCGCCCAAGAGUUCAUAUCGACGGCGGUGUUUGGCACCUCGAUGUCGGCUCAUCACAUCCUGGGGCUGAAGUAGGUCCCAAGGGUAUGGCUGUUCGCCAUUUAAAGUGGUACGCGAGCUGGGUUUAGAACGUCGUGAGACAGUUCGGUCCCUAUCUGCCGUGGGCGCUGGAGAAUUGAGGGGGGGCUGCUCCUAGUACGAGAGGACCGGAGUGGACGCAUCACUGGUGUUCGGGUUGUCAUGCCAAUGGCACUGCCCGGUAGCUAAAUGCGGAAGAGAUAAGUGCUGAAAGCAUCUAAGCACGAAACUUGCCCCGAGAUGAGUUCUCCCUGAGACUAUAAGUCUCCUGAAGGAACGUUAAAGACGAUGACGUUGAUAGGCCGGGUGUGUAAGCGCAGCGAUGCGUUGAGCUAACCGGUACUAAUGAACCGUGAGGCUUAACCUUACAACGCCGAAG
rnacentral:rRNA from 1 species